rnacentral:sRNA from 1 species
CUCGUCAGAACUCUAAUUAGAAUUGUGCAGUCAGUAUUGAUUUAUUGUUACCAACACGUCUAAACUGUGGCUUAGUUUUGAACAAGUUGCAAGAUCUUUUGUUUUUGUUUUCUCACCCAUCAAGAAUGUCUUUUCCAUGUUCCAUAAUCUUCUUAAUGACUGCAAGUUUCGCAAUGGGAGAUUCCCUUUUACCUGUGCAAACACAACGAGAUACAUCUGAAGUAAUAGGGGCAUUUCUGCAAAACCUCAAAAAAGGUA